AUACGGAGGGUCCAAGCGUUAUCCGGAUUCAUUGGGUUUAAAGGGUCCGCAGGCGGGAAAAUAAGUCAGUGGUGAAAGCCUACAGCUCAACUGUAGAACUGCCAUUGAUACUGUUUUUCUUGAGUAUAGAUGAAGUGGGCGGAAUAUAUCAUGUAGCGGUGAAAUGCAUAGAUAUGAUAUAGAACACCGAUUGCGAAGGCAGCUCACUAAACUAUUACUGACGCUCAGGGACGAAAGCGUGGGGAGCGAACAGGAUUAGAUACCCCUGUAGUCC
rnacentral:rRNA from 1 species